GCUCAGGCCCGUUAAAGCCCCCCGGGCAGACGUUUCUGUUUAACCCCACGUAACGGCAACGUGAUCGGGGGGGGCUCCGCUUCUCCCAGCCCCGCUCCUGGCACUCCUCGCCGGGAGCCGCAGCCCGGCUCAGCCGCUCCUCAUCGGCUCCAGCCUCUGGGGGGGGCGGGGGGGGGGGGGCCUCAGCAUCCUGCCCCCCCCCCUCCCGGAUGCUGCCGCUGUCCCGGCGGCUCUCGGCUCCCGCUGCCGCUUAAGUCCUAAAGGAUGCAGAGGUGCGGAGGGAGCAAAACUCCGAGGGCACCGUCGGGGCUCAACAGGUCGGCAGCGGGCAGCCCGGUGUGCGCGGCUCCCUCCGCUUUCCAUUUUCCCUUUUUCUCCACCCCUCUCCCCCCCCCCUAGCGCCCCCCCCCCCCCCCCACACACACACACACCCCCCCCCCUCGCCUUCCCCGAGCCCCCUUCAUUAUUUCUGUUAUCACAAGGCAGCCUCCGUGCCCAAACGCCGGCAUGUGCGAGGCAAACAGAGCGCGAUUGUUCCGAGCCUGGGAACGCGCGGAGGGGGCGCGGAGGGGGCGCGGGGGCCGCCGCCCGCCGCCCCCCGCCCGGGCCCGCUCAGACGCGAUUGUGA
rnacentral:lncRNA from 1 species